rnacentral:lncRNA from 1 species
AACUUGAUCUAGAGGUUCAGAGAUUUUAUCAGAAUGAGUUUCUACUUGAGAUAUUUGAUCAGGAUUAUUGAUAAAAACCUCAAUUGGACCUCUAUUCUCUUCUUUUUGAACCUGAGUUAUUUUAGAAAUAGAUUCAUCUUUAAAGCUUCUACUUUCUUUCCAUGAUUCAGCCAUUAUCCUUUUAAUUAUAAUUUUUUGUAUUUCAGGACUAGCUUCC